UGGGGAAUAUUGCACAAUGGGGGAAACCCUGAUGCAGCGACGCCGCGUGAACGAAGAAGGUAUUCGUAUCGUAAAGUUCUGUCCUAUGGGAAGAUAAUGACAGUACCAUAGAAGAAAGCUCCGGCUAAAUACGUGCCAGCAGCAGCGGUAAUACGUAUGGAGCGAGCGUUGUCCGGAAUUAUUGGGCGUAAAGGGUACGCAGGCGGUUUAAUAAGUCGAAUGUUAAAGAUCGGGGCUCAACCCCGCAAAGCAUUGGAAACUGAUAAACUUGAGUAGUGGAGAGGAAAGUGGAAUUCCUAGUGUAGUGGUGAAAUACGUAGAUAUUAGGAGGAAUACCAGUAGCGAAGGCGACUUUCUGGACACAAACUGACGCUGAGGUACGAAAGCGUGGGGAGCAAACAGG
rnacentral:rRNA from 1 species